GUCUCGCUCUGUUGUCCAGGCUGGAGUGCAGUGGCACGAUCUUGACUCACUGCAACCUGUGCCUCCUAGGCUAAGAUUUUUUUGUGUUUUUUUGUAGAGUCAGCAUUUCACCAUGUUGGGCAGGCUGGUCUCAAACUCCUGGCCUCAAGGGAUUCACCCACCUUGGUUUCCCAAAGUGCUGGGAUUACAGGCGUAAGCCAUUGCACCUGGCCAGGAAUAUUAAAAUCUAUAGGGCAUUACUUUUAUGCAGCAAGAAUAAAAAAUAAAUAUUGGGCAUGUUAAAUCGCUGGACCACUGGGGCUGUUUGCGUCCUAAGCAGGCCUUCUGAUACUGACUAGUGCGCAGUGGCACAGUGCUUAUCUGAAGUGGGAAAGACUCCACUGAGAAGGUGCUUCCAUAAGCGGACUGCAGAGUAGAAGAAAUCUUCAGGUGAUGCCCAGGCUUUAUGCUUGGGGAGGAAGACGCUGUCUUCAUGAGGAUGUUUGAGAUGAGAAGAGCAGAGCUGAGCACUUUGCUGGAGGAUGAGAAGAGAGCAUAUCCAGUGGGGAGCUGAGUGCAGUGACCUGGGAGACAUCAUGUCCUCAGUGGGGAUCUGGAGCCUGCUCGGCGGUAUUAUUUUUCAUCAUGAUGCCAACGGUAUGAACUGAAACUACAGAAAUUACAAUUUAGCCAUGCCACUAGAUUUCUUAUGGAGGAAGGUAGAAUGUGCAUCAGGAAUUUCUUUCUUUAUUGCUCUAAAAUUUUAUUCUAUGAACGUAUUACUAUUUGCUUACCCAUUCUACUGUUGAUGGACAUUUGACAACAUAUGCUUGUGGCCACUCAACGAACAUUUUCUUAUUCCUUUAAUUGUCAUCUUCUAGAACGUACAUGAAAGGAUAGAUUAUUUUCACAGUUCUUGUUUUCCCUAUUAGAAGGUCAAGAAUGAAUUGCUGACAAGUUGCGGUGGUUCAAGCCUGUAAUCCCAGCACUUUGGUAGGCUGAGGCGGAUGGAUCACCUGAGGUCAGGAGCUUGAGACCAACAUGGUGAAAUUCCAUCUCUACUAAAAAUACAAAAAUUAGUCAGGCAUGGUGGCAGGCACCUGUAAUCCCAGCUAUUUGGGAGGCUGAGGUAGGAGAAUCGCUUGAACCUGGGAGGUGGAGGUUGUAGUGAGCCUAGAUCAUGCCAGUACAUUCCAGCCUGGGUGACAGCACAAGACUCUGCCUGGAAAAAAAAAAAAAAGAAUAAAUUGCUGUGUAUUUUCACAUGUAUUUUCAUGAAAAGUAUUUGUAAGAGAAGAAUUUACAAUAGGCAGAAGAAAAAAUGGUAAGGAACAGAUUUAAGGUGAACAUUUAUUUAAUAAAGACUCACCCCCCCAUAUUCUCACUUUAGAUUGAGUUGUGGAAAUUUGCAUUAUUGGGCAAUUCUCAUAAGUUUGAAGG
rnacentral:lncRNA from 1 species